GAUGAACGCUGGCGGCGUGCCUAAUACAUGCAAGUCGAGCGAACAGAUGAGGAGCUUGCUCCUCUGACGUUAGCGGCGGACGGGUGAGUAACACGUGGAUAACCUACCUAUAAGACUGGGAUAACUUCGGGAAACCGGAGCUAAUACCGGAUAAUAUAUUGAACCGCAUGGUUCAAUAGUGAAAGACGGUUUUGCUGUCACUUAUAGAUGGAUCCGCGCCGCAUUAGCUAGUUGGUAAGGUAACGGCUUACCAAGGCGACGAUGCGUAGCCGACCUGAGAGGGUGAUCGGCCACACUGGAACUGAGACACGGUCCAGACUCCUACGGGAGGCAGCAGUAGGGAAUCUUCCGCAAUGGGCGAAAGACUGACGGAGCAACGCCGCGUGAGUGAUGAAGGUCUUCGGAUCGUAAAACUCUGUUAUUAGGGAAGAACAAAUGUGUAAGUAACUAUGCACGUCUUGACGGUACCUAAUCAGAAAGCCACGGCUAACUACGUG
rnacentral:rRNA from 1 species